rnacentral:rRNA from 1 species
GACGAACGCUGGCGGCGUGCUUAACACAUGCAAGUCGAACGGAAAGGCCCCUUUGGGGGUGCUCGAGUGGCGAACGGGUGAGUAACACGUAAGUAACCUGCCCUCCACUUCGGGAUAGCUUCAGUAAACUGGGGCUAAUACCGGAUAGGAAUCAUUGCUUCAUGGAGGGGGUUGGAAAGCUUCGGCGGGUUUGGGUGGACUUGCGGCUUGUCAGCUUGGUGGUGGGGGAGUGGCUUACCAAGGCUUUGACGGGUAGCCGGCCUGACGGGGGGACCGGCCCACAUUGGACCUAGGUUCGGCCCCGACUCCUACGGGGGGGCAGAGGUGGGAAUAUUGCAACAUGGGCGGGAGGCCGAUGGAAGAAAGGCGCGGGGGGGAUGAACGGCUUUGGGUUGGAAACCGGUUUCCGCAGGGGCGAAGCUGGGGGUGACGGUACCUGGUGAAGAAGCACCGGCUAACUACGUG